CCUGGUUGAUUCUGCCAGUAGUCAUAUGCUUGUCUCAAAGAUUAAGCCAUGCAUGUCUAAGUAUAAACACGUUAUACUGUGAAACUGCGAAUGGCUCAUUAAAUCAGUUAUAGUUUAUUUGAUGGUUUUUGCUACAUGGAUAACUGUGGUAAUUCUAGAGCUAAUACAUGCGUACAAGCCCCGACUUCUGGAAGGGGUGUAUUUAUUAGAUAAAAAUCAACACUGUUGGUGAAUCAUGAUAACUUCUCGGAUCGCAUGGCCUCGUGCUGGCGAUACUUCAUUCAAAUAUCUGCCCUAUCAACUGUCGAUGGUAGGAUAGAGGCCUACCAUGGUUGCAACGGGUAACGGGGAAUAAGGGUUCGAUUCCGGAGAGGGAGCCUGAGAAACGGCUACCACAUCCAAGGAAGGCAGCAGGCGCGCAAAUUACCCAAUCCCGACACGGGGAGGUAGUGACAAUAUGUAACAAUAUACGGCUUUAUCGUCGUAUAAUUGGAAUGAGUACAAUUUAAAUCCCUUAACGAAGAACAAUUGGAGGGCAAGUCUGGUGCCAGCAGCCGCGGUAAUUCCAGCUCCAAUAGCGUAUAUUAAAGUUGUUGCAGUUAAAAAGCUCGUAGUUGGACCUUGGGCCUGGACGGGCGGUCCGCCUCACGGCGUGUACUGUCUUGCCGGGCCUUUCCUCUUGGUGAUCUGUUGUUUCGGCAGCAGGGAACCAGGACCUUUACUUUGAAAAAAUUAGAGUGUUCAAAGCAGGCUCGACGCCGGAAUAUAUUAGCAUGGAAUAAUAAAAUAGGACGUGCGGUUCUAUUUUGUUGGUUUUUGGAAUCGCCGUAAUGAUUAAUAGGACAGUCGGGGGCA
rnacentral:rRNA from 1 species